rnacentral:rRNA from 1 species
UGAUCGCCUUAAGAUGCACGAGAGCGAAAGCAUUUCACUCAAUUGCGUUCAUUAAUCAAGAACGAAAGUUAGGGGAUCGAAGACGAUUAGAUACCGUCGUAGUCCUAACUAUAAACGAUGUCAACCAAGGAUUGGAUUAGUUUUAGAGUGACAGAAGUCCGGUAACGCUGUUAUUGGGCUGACGGAUCUCGCUUCCACCUUAUUCAGAACUUAAAGAGAAAUCUUGAGUUUAUGGACUUCAGGGGGAGUAUGGUCACAAGGCUGAAACUUAAAGGAAUUGACGGAAGGGCACACCAGGAGUGGAGCCUGCGGCUUAAUUUGACUCAACACGGGAAAACUUACCAAGACCGAACAGUAUUAGGAAUGACAGAUUAAGGGUUCUUUCAUGAUUUAUUGGGUAGUGGUGCAUGGCCGUUCUUAGUUGGUGGAGUGAUUUGUCAGGUUAAUUCCGGUAACGAACGAGACUGAAGCCUAUUAAUUAGUUUCUCGCCUAUAAGACGAGAAUGUCCGCAAGGAUGGAUGCUUUUGCAUCACUUCUUAAAGGGACUAAUAUCAAUUGUUUCUCGGUUGAUCAGUGCGACCAUCUCGAUGGUACCUUUUCAAUCGGAAAAAAAGAUAAUGGAAGCAUUCACCAAUAACAGGUCUGUGAUGCCCUUAGACAUUUUGGGCUCCCCGCCCGUUCCAAUGGAGAUACUAGGGAGUAUUUGUCGGGGAUGCUCGGCUUAUCGGCUCUGUCGGUGGAUCGAGAUUUUCCCCGAUGUACCGAGACUGAAAUAGUUUAGGAAAACUCAAAAGAUCGUACAUUACAGGG